GCCUGUGUCUAGAGUCAGGCCAGGUCCAUACGGGCCCAAUAAUCUGCAGUGAUGUUCAUCUGCUUCAACAGUCCAAACACCCCAAGAUUAAACUGGAGUCGCCUUGAAGAGGCUCAGAGAGGGCCAAUAUUUGUCCAGGGGCCACUCAGCAAGAGAGUGGGCAGACCUCAAUUCCUGUGCUCCCUCCUGGAACCGACUCUCCCCUUCGUUAUCCAGAAGACAAGCUGGAGAGGCUUUGCUGGAAGGCUUGUUUUCAGGGCUACAGACAGGUUAACAUGGGUAAUUCAAGUCUUCACCUUCAUUGUGCUGGAUAAUAUUUGAGAUAUGUGGGGAUACUCAAAGGGGAAAAUUCUUUAUGAAAAGUUAAUAUUCAUCUAUUGUGAAAUGAUUAUUUUGAAAUAUAUGAGUUUGUUACAGAUUAAAGUAGACCACAUAAAGGAUACACUUGGCAAUGGUUUUUUUGCUUCAUUUAAAUUAGAUGUUCAAUCAUUGUUACUCAGCCCAUUUACUGGCUAUGAAUA
rnacentral:lncRNA from 1 species